rnacentral:rRNA from 1 species
UCCUUUUGGGUAGCAACAAUUGGGGAUUUUUGGCCCCAUGGGGGCAAACUUUUCUCCUGCCUUAACCGCUGGAAGAAAAGAGCCCUUCGGGGUUGUAAAAAUACAUUCAGGCGGGUAUGAAGGUAGUAUAGUUUAAGACUUUACUCUUGACGGUUUCCCCGCAAGAGAAACUCGCCUAAAAUUUUGCCCCCCACACCCGGUGAUAUAGAGAGGGGCGCACGUUUUCUUGGGAUAUUUGGGGGAUAGAGCGCGGUAGAGGGGGGUUUUAUAUUUCAUGUGAAAAAUCCGCGGGUCUUCACCUGAGAAACCACAUGUAAAUCUGGCACUAGUGUCUUGGUAGAGAAGGGGGGAGUAUUUCAGUGCAUUGCUGUGAAAUGCGGAUAGAUCUGGGGGAAUCCCGUGGGGAAAGGCGGCUCCCUGGAGGAAGUCUGGCGGUCAACACAAGAAGCAUUGGGGGGAAAACAUUUUAGAAACUCCUUAUUGUCCCCCCGAAACAAAUGGUCAUUAGGGAGGUUCGCUCCAAGCGUUCGGUGCCGUAGCUAACGCGUAAGUUACCCGCAUGGGAAGAAA